AGAGUUUGAUCAUGGCUCAGAACGAACGCUGGCGGCAGGCCUAACACAUGCAAGUCGAAGGAGAAGUUUCUCUUCGGAGAGAUGGACACUGGCGCACGGGUGAGUAACGCGUGGGAAUCUACCCCGGGGUGGGGGACAACCGCUGGAAACGGCGGCUAAUACCGCAUACGCCUUGAGAGGGAAAGCUUUAGCGCCCUGGGAUGAGCCCGCGUUAGAUUAGGUAGUUGGUGGGGUAAUGGCCUACCAAGCCUUCGAUCUAUAGCUGGUCUGAGAGGAUGAUCAGCCACACUGGGACUGAGACACGGCCCAGACUCCUACGGGAGGCAGCAGUGGGGAAUAUUGGACAAUGGGGGCAACCCUGAUCCAGCCAUGCCGCGUGCGUGAAGAAGGCCUUAGGGUUGUAAAGCGCUUUCACUGGUGAAGAUGAUGACGGUAGCCAGAGAAGAAGCCCCGGCUAACUCCGUGCCGGCAGCCGCGGUAAUACGGAGGGGGCAAGCGUUGUUCGGAAUUACUGGGCGUAAAGGGCGCGUAGGCGGAAUAUCAAGUUAGGGGUGAAAGGCCUGGGCUCAACCUAGGA
rnacentral:rRNA from 1 species